GGUACGGUUACGACGGAGGGUUGCCGAAGCCGACCGAGGUGGGAGCCAAUCCCACAAAGCCGGUCGUAGUCCGGAUCGCAGUCUGCAACUCGACUGCGUGAAGUCGGAAUCGCUAGUAAUCGCGGAUCAGCAUGUCGCGGUGAAUACGUUCCCGGGUCUU
rnacentral:rRNA from 1 species